rnacentral:lncRNA from 1 species
GUGCAGCUUGCUGUAAGACUCAGGGUACUAUAAGAGCAUUAGACAACAGACUUCAGUCAGUGCACUGUUCUCCCCACAAUGGCCCUUGCUAGUGAUUCAAGAAAAUCAUUCAGUAAAAUAAGGCAAGCUAAAGCUAGGACAGGGCUGACAGCAUUAAGGUAGAAAUCGUGCCUUGGAAGCUAAAGGGAGUCCAGUAAAGAGAAAUAUACUCAGAAGGAAAAACAGAAGGACUUUCAAAGAAAAUACAAUAUAAAUCUACACAAAUAUUGCUGCUAAACCCUUGCACGAAAACAGCAGCAGAAACUACCCACAAAACACUCCCUCCUCCUAUUUUUCUAUGGGGAAAACUGUAUAGAAGCUGAUACAUAAAUAAAAGCCAAAAUGGGGAGCAAAUCGCAAUCCAACACCCUUCAGCACUAGCAGCGACCACAUGUUUAUAAACCAACUGAUUACAAACUUCGACGAUCUUGUGACAAGGGAGUGACGUCAGUGAAUUUAAGGAGAAGGGCCUGAUGGAAGAUGAGAGGAUCUCCGUAAUGCCGGGUGGGCAGAGUUACCGCAGCCCAACCUCCUGGGCCUCUCAGGGGACAGAGCAGCCGAGCGGACCAGAGGUGCAAAUGACCAUGGGCCCCGACGGGAAGGCUUUCUGAGGAUGUUGAUGCCAACCAACCCUCGGUGAACCUGCAUCCCAGGCAUCGCCCUUUUUGACCCUACCCAGCCGAGCCCGAUGUAGCUAUGAACCACCCUCCCUCCAGGCCCUCUCCGGGCCUCAGGCCUGCUCACUGGAGCUCCGGGCAGCCUCUAGAACUUUCAGCAAAAAAACGGUCGAGACACCGAGCAACGGUCCUCAAAAACGAAGCCCUCCGGAAUUAAAAUAAAAUGGCUGUCCGGGGAAGUAUGUCAUCACGCUACCCAGCUAUGCCAUACCCUUCUUAGCAUUCCCUCUAGGAAUCUUGGAGGACCCUGUCCUCUUGGUUGUUCCAAUGAGACCAGCCGGGAAGAGAGAAGACUGACCCUCACCCAAGCAGAAGAGAAAAACUUUCCAGGAAACACAGUUACACAUCCUUCAAGGUGCAAAGGAUAACCGGAAGCCAAGGGCUGGCUUUGAGAUAAGAAGCCUGUCCCAUGCAGCAACACCUUCGGGUCCAGAUGCCCCUGGAGACCACCGGACGUCCUCUGCCCCAGAACAAAAGGCUUCCUCCACCCCGGGACAAAAUGUCCCUCUCCUCCUGGCACCACCCCUCCCCUUCCCAAACUCCCCUGUAAAGUCUCCCCUCACCCAAGCCCCCAGGGUCAACAGCUCUGUCG